rnacentral:rRNA from 1 species
GUGGCGCACGGCUGAGGAACACGUGGGUGACCUGCCCCAGAGUGGGGGAUACCCCGUCGAAAGACGGAAUAAUCCCGCAUACGCUCUACGGAGGAAAGCCCCUACGGGCGCUCUGGGAGGGGCCUGCGGCCAUCAGGUUGUUGGUGUGGUAACGGCGCACCAAGCCACUGACGGGUACCCGGUCUGAGAGGACGGCCGGGCAGACUGGGACUGCGACACGGCCCAGACUCCUACGGGAGGCAGCAGCAAGGAAUUUUCCCCAAUGGGCGCAAGCCUGAGGGAGCAACGCCGCGUGGAGGACGACGGCUUCGGGUUGUAAACUCCUUUCGGGUGGGACGACCACGACGGUACCACCAGAAGCAGCCCCGGCUAACUCUGUGCCAGCAGCCGCGGUAAGACAGAGGGGGCAAGCGUUGUCCGGAGUUACUGGGCGUAAAGGGCGCGGAGGCGGUCUGCGGCGUCGCGCUGAAACGCCCCGCUUAACGGGGCGAGGCGUGCCGAUACGCGCAGACUUGAGGCGAGCAGAGGGUGGUGGAAUUCCGGGUGGAGCGGUGAAAUGCGUAGAGAUCCGGAGGAACGCCAGUGGGGAAGCCGGCCACCUGGGCUCGCCCUGACGCUGCGGCGCGACAGCGUGGGGAGCAAACCGGAUUAGAUACCCGGGUAGUCCACGCCGUAAACGAUGCCAGCUCGGCGUGUGGCGCACGGUUGUGCGCUGCGUGCCUUAGCUCACGCGAUAAGCUGGCCGCCUGGGGACUACGAGCGCAAGCUUAAAACUCAAAGGAAUUGACGGGGGCCCGCACAAGCAGCGGAGCGUGUGGUUUAAUUCGACGCAACACGAAGAACCUUACCUGGGCUUGACAUGACGCUGCACGCCGUCGAAAGACGGCCGCCUGCGAGGGCCCGUCA